AUUUUGUUUUUCUUGGAAUUUUAUUUCAUAAAUUCCCUGAUGCCCAGGAUAAAUGUGGAUUUUUCCAGAGGAAAUUUGUGUGUGUCUGCCAGGCUCUGGAAUCACUCCCAACCCAGGAUCACUCUAAAGUUGUUCUCAGUUUUCAGAUUACCCAGGUGGUGUGAAUUCAGGCUGCACAACCUUGAAGGAGCCACUUGUGGUUUCCAUAUUCUCAGAGUUGUUAAUGGGCAUUUGGAUUGUUUUCACCUUCUCACCAUUGUGAAUACCUACUACUGUGAACCUUGGUGUACAAGGAGAGAGAGCACACGUGCAGGGAAGA